rnacentral:rRNA from 1 species
AUUGAACGCUGGCGGCAGGCCUAACACAUGCAAGUCGAGCGGAUGAAGGGAGCUUGCUCCUGGAUUCAGCGGCGGACGGGUGAGUAAUGCCUAGGAAUCUGCCUGGUAGUGGGGGAUAACGUCCGGAAACGGGCGCUAAUACCGCAUACGUCCAGAGGGAGCAAGUGGGGGAUCUUCGGACCUCACGCUAUCAGAUGAGCCUAGGUCGGAUUAGCUAGUUGGUGGGGCAAAGGCCUACCAAGGCGACGAUCCUAACUGGUCUGAGAGGAUGAUCAGUCACACUGGAACUGAGACACGGUCCAGACUCCUACGGGAGGCAGCAGUGGGGAAUAUUGGACAAUGGGCGAAAGCCUGAUCCAGCCAUGCCGCGUGUGUGAAGAAGGUCUUCGGAUUGUAAAGCACUUUAAGUUGGGAGGAAGGGCAGUAAGUUAAUACCUUGCUGUUUUGACGUUACCAACAGAAUAAGCACCGGCUAACUUCGUG